ACAGGAAGCAAUUAAAAGACGCUGCUCUCAGCACACACUUAUCGAAAUAAGCCGGAUGUCCGCUGACUUAAAGGCCACAAAUGGAAAGAUUUACUCACUCGAGGCAAAACUCUUCCCCCUUCCCGUUGGCAGAAGGUGUCACCGCCGGAUAAUCACUCCAAACAGUUGUUUCUGGACGUAUGAGCUCCUUGGGCUACAGGAAGUCUUCACAUCCACGUCCAAUCGCAGGAGUGCCUUGACAAUUCUUGUCCUGCCUGCAAACAUCCAAUAACCUGAACCUCUAAAUGAAUUUCAUGCAGUGUCCAGUGUGUUAAAUGUGACCGUCGCAUG